GUUCGUCGCUUUGAUUUGAUUAAUUUUGUAAAAUACACAUUGAAACAAAGUUGUUAUUUAGUUCAAUAUUUAUUUCGGAAUGUCCAGCCGACAUCGAUCGUUACGUAGUAAUCAUGCGUUGACAAUGACGUCACCAACUGCGCCCGAGUAGCUUUAAAAAAAAAAUAAAAAAAACAGUUUUCAUUUAAUGAAACGACAUAAAAUCCCAAUAAAAUGUAGCGAUUAGGGCGUCGGGAAGGAUUCGGAAGGGAAGGGAUUUUAGUCCCGAUGUUGUUAAACAAGAUCUACUGCAAAUGUGUCUGCUUCAUGUUUGUUGCGGCGCAAGUGUGUGUAAAAAACUGAAACUUGAAAAUUCAUCAUCAAAAGACAAGACUAAAUCGUGUCGUGCAAAUUGCAACAUUACAAGCACUUGUUUCCAUCCUCUGGAUCCCAGUGGCGAUGUCCCGCUCGUCCAGCUUCCAGAGAGCCCAAAUGUCUCCCGAGGAGGUCUUCGCGUUCCCACGCAACGCUAAAGGCUGAAGAUAUUUUAUUUUGGGAUGUCAAUCAUUAAUAAGAGGCAAUAAAUAUAAAUAUAUAUCUUUUACAGUUUGAUAUGUACAGUAUUUUGUUAAUAGUCCCAAGUAGGUUACUUGUAAACACAAGAGCUCUGUUAACGCAAUAUGCUUGUCACUCAUUUACAUUUUGAAGCACCUCAGUUGUGCUGUUUUUUUAUUUAUUUUUUUAUUAUGGCUCAGUUUCACAGAUGUGUUCAGCCCCGAUGAACUGGAAUGCAGUAUGGUAUUUCAGUUUUUAAUACACUGUAAAUACUGUACCAUGAGGCUGGAGUCUGUUGUUGUUGUGAGUGCUAAUGUUUUUGUUUUCAUGGAUUAUUGUUUUCCUUUAUGUCAGUCUUCCAGGUGCUUCAUCUUAUCUUUCAAAGUGCUCUAAAUUGCUAGAGGAUUCUGCAUCAUUUGCUCAAUUGUCAAAAAUUAAAAAAAUUAAAAAGUAUCUGCAUUACUGAUCACAUUUUAUUGCUCAGUGACUCUCCGUACUGUGUUUUUAGGUUUUUAUGUCUCCAAAGUAUUGUCUGGCUCCAACUCAAAUUCCUCGCAAAUAAAGAUGAUUCUGAUUCUGACCUUG